rnacentral:rRNA from 1 species
CCUACGGGGCGCUGCAGUGAGGAAUAUUGGUCAAUGGCCGUAAGGCUGAACCAGCCAAGUCGCGUGAAGGAAGAAGGAUCUAUGGUUUGUAAACUUCUUUUAUAGGGGAAUAAAGGUAUCCACGUGUGGAUAUUUGCAUGUACCCUAUGAAUAAGCAUCGGCUAACUCCGUGCAAGCAGCAGCGGUAAUACGGAGGAUGCGAGCGUUAUCCGGAGUUAUUGGGUGUAAAGGGUGCGUAGGUUGUUUUUUAAGUCAGCGGUGAAAGUUUGUGGCUCAACCAUAAAAUUGCCGUUGAAACUGGAAGACGUGAGUGUGUGUGAGGUAAGCGGAAUGCGUGGUGUAGCGGUGAAAUGCAUAGAUAUCACGCAGAACUCUGAUUGCGAAGGCAGCUUACUAAGCCAUAACUGACACUGAAGCACGAAAGCGUGGGGAUCAAACAGGAUUAGAUACCCGGGUAGUC